rnacentral:ncRNA from 1 species
GAUCAAGCGCAUAAGGGCUUCUGACGGAUGCCUUGGCAUUGAGAGGCGAUGAAGGACGUGGCACGCUGCGAUAAGAGCCGGGGAGGCGCGAGCACCCUUUGAUCCGGCUAUCUCCGAAUGGGGAAACCCACCUUUAUGGUCACCCGACUUAGUCUUGCCUUCGGGCAAGAUCAGGAUCGGUUGAUCAGACAAGGUAUAAUGACCUGAAUACAUAGGGUUCAUUAAGCAAACCCGGGGAACUGAAACAUCUCAGUACCCGGAGGAAAGGACAUCAACCGAGACUCCCGUAGUAGUGGCGAGCGAACCGGGACCAGGCCAGUGCUGUCGUGACAUAAAGCUGAAUGUGUUGGGAAGCACAGCCAUAGUGGGUGAUAGCCCCGUAAGCGUCAAAUAGCGACAGACUCGAGUAGGGCGGGACACGUGAAAUCCUGUCUGAACAUGGGGGGACCACCCUCCAAGCCUAAGUACUCCUCAAUGACCGAUAGCGAACAAG